UUUCAAGCUACCAAUGUGAUGUCACUCAGUGGGGAGAAGGGAAGAGAUGAACCCAGUUGAGCUUUUGGGGACCAGCAACAGUGCACUACUGAAAGCAAUACCAGGCAUCAUUGACUGAAAUCAAAUAAUGCAGCGCUUGUCAGUAAGAUUAGCCCUGAGCUAACAUCUGCCACCAAUCCUCCUCUUUUUGCUGAAGAAGACUGGCCCUGAGCUAACAUGUGUGCCCAUCUUCCUCUACUUUCUAUGUAGGACGCCUACCACAGCAUGGCUUGCCAAGUGGUGCCGUGUCCGCACCAGGGAUCCGAACUGGCGAACCCCAGGCCUCUAAAGCAGAACGUGCGAACUUAACCGCUGCACCACAGGGCCAGCCCCUGAAUUAACUUUUAGUUUCCUGAUAGGAAUAGAAGUGCACAACUUAGCCACAUUCUUUCCAGCUUCUAGUUCACAUUGUUAUUUUCAAAAUCAUCCUCCCAUCUUCACCCUCACACCCCUAAAUACGUAUGUAACAGAAGCAGUAUAUUUUAACUUUCCCCUUCUGUCAUAUUUUCGUUUCAUCCAAUCUCCGACUCUUGUGUGCAACACUCUCCAAGUUCUGCGCUCAGGGUCUGAUUCUGUUUUAACCACCCACAUCGAGAGAACUCCCUUCUUCCCAUGGCUGUGCUGUUGCCCUCCUUGAGGGAGAGCACACGGACCAUAUGAGGAGCUCAUGCAUGGCGAGCUGACCUGGAGCUCUCUGUAGCUUUCCAGUCCUCCACCCUCAAGACCGUGUGCAUUUUUCUGAAGACUGACGGGACACCAUAGCAGUAAAAGCAGGCAUGGUGACUCAUGUCAGCAGGGAGAGAUUUCUACUAAAUUAAAAAACCAUUGUUAAAGGGAGAUGUUCAUCAACUGAUGCAUGGAUAAACAAUAUGGUGCAUCCAUACAAUGGAAUAUUAUUUGGCCAUAAAAGGAAUGAAGUACUAAUAGAUGCUACAACAUGGGUGGACUUGAAAACAUGCUCAGUGAAGGAAGUCAGUCAUAAAACGAUGGUAUUGUCUGAUUCCAUUUACAUGAAAGGUCUAUAAUAGGCAAAUCCACACAGACACAGAAGGUAGAUGAGUAGUUGCCUAGGGUUGGGGAUGCAUGAGAAAGGUUAGAGCAGAUGACUAAGGGAGGCAGAGCUUUUUAGGAGUGAUGAAAAUGUUCUAAAAUUGAUUAUAAU
rnacentral:lncRNA from 1 species